rnacentral:lncRNA from 1 species
GCUUUUUGUCCGUUGCUUUUUGUCCGUUUUGCUUUUUAGCUCACCUGGACCAUAGGACUAAGUGAGCUUUUCCUAUUUUCUCAUUAUUCGUCGUCGUCAUUAAUUUUUACAAAAAUCUUCUCUUCUGAAACUACUGGCAAAAUUAAAGCAAACAUGGCCAAAAUCAUCCUUAGGGUAUUUAGUUUCAAAAAAAGAUCCGAUGACCCCGCCCAAUAAUUAAGAUGGCCAGAAUGUCUAAAAGAAGAGCAUCGCAUAAAAUGUAGAUUUUGGCUUAUAUAUCUGAAACAAAAC